AAAAAGUAUGCCCUGACUAGUUUUGUCAUAGAUAAGGAGAUGUGUAAAAGUAAUGCUUGACUUCAUUAGGUUGUGUUUCAAAUAUUCCAUAGCAAAGCCCAGAUGAUUAACCAUGCACAGUGCACGCCAUGAUAUGGCGGACAGGUGUAGAUUUGAUGUUAGAAAUGUCUUCUAAAAUCUGUGGGCGGUGGCGUUAUUGAAAAAUAUUUUCAUGUUUUAGAUAAACUCAGAGUUAAAGCGCAUCACAACCAUGCCUCUACAAUCAAAGUGUUUGCAAAGCGACCGGGGAGCAGGGAAAAAAGCUAAAAGACAUAGCUGCCAUGAUUACAGAUGACAUUUAUGCCAGAAGGGAGUCCUCAUUAAAGGACUGCAUCUAUCUGAAUGAGAAUCCCGACGUCUUGGUGCGGGAGUACACGGACAUGACUAAGGCUACUGCACUGAGUGCCAUCAUGAAAACUACAGUGGGAAUCUAUGUCACCAGAGAGACGCCAGGCAAUUACUUUUCUGCUGUUGGCAUCAUCUAGGGUGGUUCUUCAAGAUCUGGAUAACAUGGCCCUUGCAACAGCCUAGCUGUUUGGACUUUGUUACUCUUUGAACAUGAGGUAUCCGUCAUAGCUCCGCUACACUUUCGUAGUGAUUCAAAAAGUGUUAAUGGAGUUGGAUGUGACUCAACUCUCAAGGAAAGCCCAAAGCUUAAAAACAAAACUGCUCCAGUAAGGAGAGCUCACUGUUGUUUUGCAUUUAAGGCCAAUUCUUCAUUCCUUAACUGCCAUGUUGACGGGCCACUUAUUUUCCCCUCUUCAAGACUCUGAUUGGCAACUUUCUUCAAUCUUAGUUUCUACCUGUCUUAAAGGUGAAGAGAUGGAAAACUGCACACAGUCUAAAUAGUGCCAUCAGGGCCAUGUUAAAACGGAUCAUUAGUUUAAUUCAGUUGCAGUAAUGAGUUUCCAUACUUCUAAGAAUACAUCUCAGACUUGGCUCUUGAAGGGAUCAUUUUUUCUUUGUGUGCAGCCCCUAUCUGUGGGACCAGGGAUGGUUUUAGUCUACUAUGUAAUUUAGAAAACUUUAACCUUAGAUUUUUUCAAGUUCAACCACUAAUUUAAUUCCUACAACAGUAUUGCAUUAGAUAUUGACACAGUC